GGGUUGUGAGGUUAAGCGACUAAGCGUACACGGUGGAUGCCCUGGCAGUCAGAGGCGAUGAAGGACGUGCUAAUCUGCGAUAAGCGUCGGUAAGGUGAUAUGAACCGUUAUAACCGGCGAUUUCCGAAUGGGGAAACCCAGUGUGUUUCGACACACUAUCAUUAACUGAAUCCAUAGGUUAAUGAGGCGAACCGGGGGAACUGAAACAUCUAAGUACCCCGAGGAAAAGAAAUCAACCGAGAUUCCCCCAGUAGCGGCGAGCGAACGGGGAGGAGCCCAGAGCCUGAAUCAGUGUGUGUGUUAGUGGAAGCGUCUGGAAAGGCGCGCGAUACAGGGUGACAGCCCCGUACACAAAAAUGCACAUGCUGUGAGCUCGAUGAGUAGGGCGGGACACGUGGUAUCCUGUCUGAAUAUGGGGGGACCAUCCUCCAAGGCUAAAUACUCCUGACUGACCGAUAGUGAACCAGUACCGUGAGGGAAAGGCGAAAAGAACCCCGGCGAGGGGAGUGAAAAAGAACCUGAAACCGUGUACGUACAAGCAGUGGGAGCCUCUUUUAUGGGGUGACUGCGUACCUUUUGUAUAAUGGGUCAGCGACUUAUAUUCUGUAGCAAGGUUAACCGAAUAGGGGAGCCGAAGGGAAACCGAGUCUUAACUGGGCGUUAAGUUGCAGGGUAUAGACCCGAAACCCGGUGAUCUAGCCAUGGGCAGGUUGAAGGUUGGGUAACACUAACUGGAGGACCGAACCGACUAAUGUUGAAAAAUUAGCGGAUGACUUGUGGCUGGGGGUGAAAGGCCAAUCAAACCGGGAGAUAGCUGGUUCUCCCCGAAAGCUAUUUAGGUAGCGCCUCGUGAAUUCAUCUCCGGGGGUAGAGCACUGUUUCGGCAAGGGGGUCAUCCCGACUUACCAACCCGAUGCAAACUGCGAAUACCGGAGAAUGUUAUCACGGGAGACACACGGCGGGUGCUAACGUCCGUCGUGAAGAGGGAAACAACCCAGACCGCCAGCUAAGGUCCCAAAGUCAUGGUUAAGUGGGAAACGAUGUGGGAAGGCCCAGACAGCCAGGAUGUUGGCUUAGAAGCAGCCAUCAUUUAAAGAAAGCGUAAUAGCUCACUGGUCGAGUCGGCCUGCGCGGAAGAUGUAACGGGGCUAAACCAUGCACCGAAGCUGCGGCAGCGACGCUUAUGCGUUGUUGGGUAGGGGAGCGUUCUGUAAGCCUGUGAAGGUGUGCUGUGAGGCAUGCUGGAGGUAUCAGAAGUGCGAAUGCUGACAUAAGUAACGAUAAAGCGGGUGAAAAGCCCGCUCGCCGGAAGACCAAGGGUUCCUGUCCAACGUUAAUCGGGGCAGGGUGAGUCGACCCCUAAGGCGAGGCCGAAAGGCGUAGUCGAUGGGAAACAGGUUAAUAUUCCUGUACUUGGUGUUACUGCGAAGGGGGGACGGAGAAGGCUAUGUUGGCCGGGCGACGGUUGUCCCGGUUUAAGCGUGUAGGCUGGUUUUCCAGGCAAAUCCGGAAAAUCAAGGCUGAGGCGUGAUGACGAGGCACUACGGUGCUGAAGCAACAAAUGCCCUGCUUCCAGGAAAAGCCUCUAAGCAUCAGGUAACAUCAAAUCGUACCCCAAACCGACACAGGUGGUCAGGUAGAGAAUACCAAGGCGCUUGAGAGAACUCGGGUGAAGGAACUAGGCAAAAUGGUGCCGUAACUUCGGGAGAAGGCACGCUGAUAUGUAGGUGAAGCGACUUGCUCGUGGAGCUGAAAUCAGUCGAAGAUACCAGCUGGCUGCAACUGUUUAUUAAAAACACAGCACUGUGCAAACACGAAAGUGGACGUAUACGGUGUGACGCCUGCCCGGUGCCGGAAGGUUAAUUGAUGGGGUUAGCGCAAGCGAAGCUCUUGAUCGAAGCCCCGGUAAACGGCGGCCGUAACUAUAACGGUCCUAAGGUAGCGAAAUUCCUUGUCGGGUAAGUUCCGACCUGCACGAAUGGCGUAAUGAUGGCCAGGCUGUCUCCACCCGAGACUCAGUGAAAUUGAACUCGCUGUGAAGAUGCAGUGUACCCGCGGCAAGACGGAAAGACCCCGUGAACCUUUACUAUAGCUUGACACUGAACAUUGAGCCUUGAUGUGUAGGAUAGGUGGGAGGCUUUGAAGUGUGGACGCCAGUCUGCAUGGAGCCGACCUUGAAAUACCACCCUUUAAUGUUUGAUGUUCUAACGUUGACCCGUAAUCCGGGUUGCGGACAGUGUCUGGUGGGUAGUUUGACUGGGGCGGUCUCCUCCUAAAGAGUAACGGAGGAGCACGAAGGUUGGCUAAUCCUGGUCGGACAUCAGGAGGUUAGUGCAAUGGCAUAAGCCAGCUUGACUGCGAGCGUGACGGCGCGAGCAGGUGCGAAAGCAGGUCAUAGUGAUCCGGUGGUUCUGAAUGGAAGGGCCAUCGCUCAACGGAUAAAAGGUACUCCGGGGAUAACAGGCUGAUACCGCCCAAGAGUUCAUAUCGACGGCGGUGUUUGGCACCUCGAUGUCGGCUCAUCACAUCCUGGGGCUGAAGUAGGUCCCAAGGGUAUGGCUGUUCGCCAUUUAAAGUGGUACGCGAGCUGGGUUUAGAACGUCGUGAGACAGUUCGGUCCCUAUCUGCCGUGGGCGCUGGAGAACUGAGGGGGGCUGCUCCUAGUACGAGAGGACCGGAGUGGACGCAUCACUGGUGUUCGGGUUGUCAUGCCAAUGGCACUGCCCGGUAGCUAAAUGCGGAAGAGAUAAGUGCUGAAAGCAUCUAAGCACGAAACUUGCCCCGAGAUGAGUUCUCCCUGACUCCUUGAGAGUCCUGAAGGAACGUUGAAGACGACGACGUUGAUAGGCCGGGUGUGUAAGCGCAGCGAUGCGUUGAGCUAACCGGUACUAAUGAACCGUGAGGCUUAACCUUACAACGCCGAAGGUGUUU
rnacentral:rRNA from 1 species